NGUUGUUUGGCCGAGCGGUCUAAGGCGCCUGAUUCAAGNUCAGGUAUCGUAAGAUGCGUGAGUUCGAAUCUCACAGCAACCA
rnacentral:tRNA from 1 species